GUCAUGGGCUCAAAUGAAAACGGUGCUUGCUGUUGGUGUUGAGUGGCUGCGGACAUGUAACGUGAUAAUUACUUACUGCUUAAUUAACUUCUUGAUGUGCCAGCCAGGGUGGUUGUGUCUUCAGGCUCUCCACUACGUCACCUAGGACCUCGGCGAGCAAGGGCCAGAGCACGGGUUUGGUAUCCUCCAGGCGUCAGUAGUAGCAGCAGCAGAGGGAGGAGGAGGAGGAAGAAGGCGGGCGUGUUCUUCAUGGCUGGAGGCUUGUAGUGUGUCAGAAAUCCCAAGAACGAAUACUGCAUGGCCCCUUACAUCGGGUUCAUAAUUGCUGCACGUCACUGAAACGUAAUACCUCGCAUACAAACUGAACAAGUCCCAAACCCGUGACACUCCCAGGACGUCAAGAAACUUGCAGGACGCCUGAUAACCAACAACUGACCCGAGAAUAACACGGCAGUGCCCGCUAUCACAACACCACAUGUUUUGCAAGUCAUCAGUGACCAUCGACAUGCGUGCUGAUCCGAUCGCGUGCCCUGUACCCGGCAGUUCUCGGCCGCCAUGCAGCACGGAUGGCAUAGUGAAAGACAGCCGUGAAAGGAACAGCCUGUAAAUAUAGUGGACAUGGGAAGAAACAAUUGGAAGGGAAAAUCUGUGACACCACGAAAAUUAGUGCCUAAAACAAGAUCUGCCAACAACAACAACAUGGACACAGUCGGCCCUGCUGCUGUCACCCUGAGACAGGAAAACCCAAUUGGUCUGUAGAUGGGUGAAAUACCAUGUGGAUGGAGUGUGUGACUCAGGCAUCUGUGAAUGGAUUACUGGCACUCUGAGAGCUGGCCCAAGAUGCUCAAUCCCCAUGACCCAGAGUGAUCAGCUGCACACUGACCCAAAUACCUGGCAGCCUGACUAGUCGUAUGCCCUCAGGAAGUGACAGUCUCAAGUGAAAGCAGAAUAUGGCAUGGUAAUGUACUGGGAUGGAGUGCUGGUCCUGGCUGCUAGAGGGACUGCUACUGCUACAGCUGGGAAGGUUCAACCAUCUUGUGUGCCUCUGCCAGACACUGAGACUCAGCUGGAUGUGCUGAAGGAGCUGCACGCAAGAAAUAAGUAAUGGCACUUCACAUGGAAAAUCCUCAAGUUGAAGGAACCAGCAAAGGAAAGAAUAUACUCUGAUGAAGUUUGAUGAACCCAGAGGUCUCUGCCAGCCGACAUGACUGAUAGUGUACAGGUAACCUCAGGAGAGGCUUCAGAAACCUUUAUAGCAAAGCCGCACCAGCUGGGCAUCAAUUGGCUCUCAGGUGAUCUGUUUUACUGAUCACACCCAUCAUCGUAGGGUCGAGGAAAGGCAGUUCUCCCUGACACGUUUAUUGAUGAGAGUGGUGGCAGUGUUCUUGAGACAAGCAGUAGAAAAACUAGCUAAGCACAAGCAUCACGUGGACCUACUAUUACCACCCACCACCACUGCAGACAGUGGUGGUGGUGCUGGGAGCUAGUAAAUGCUUUCAGUAUUAAUAGUCAUGACUGACUGCAACAGUUCUGUGUCUGCUAUUUACUGCUACUACAACAAUAUUUUGCUUAGAUUCGAUGAAUGUUGUUAUAGUUAGUGGAUCCAUACUAAUUUGGUACUUGGUGUGUUGACUGUACUGUACCACUCUUAUCUGUUGCCACCACAACCCUGAAGUGAUCAUGAAUGAUCUUCAAAUCCAAGACCAUGCUGUUACAUACAACUUAUAAUUUUGGUAUGAUUAAGGCAAAGCAUUUACAGUAUGAGCAAGAGUGAGAGAUCUUCAUUUGCCUGUUGACUGUCAAUGUGGAAGCAAUGUGAGACAUAUACAGCCGACAUCAAGUAAGGCUGGAUUCACUAUAGUCAAAAAACAUCCAGUGGUUGUAGUUGUAGUUGUGGUGGUGGUGGUGGUGGUGGUGCUCCAUCUUUUAUGCCUAUCUACUACUAGUCCAUUACUAACAACUACUAUUUUUUUUACUGUUGAAUAUAGAAAUUAUUGUUACUGUUGUUAUUAUUAUUUUCUACUAUCAUUAUUAUGACUGAUUCAGAUUAUACAUUAAAAAUAUAAA